AAAAAAUGUAUGGUUUUUCUCCCACGAAUGCUAGAGAUUUGUAUAAAUUACAACCAUAAUGUUAAUUAUAUAUAGAGCAGGGCCCCCUGCUGCCAGGCUUUUUGAUGUGCUGAGUUUCAAACGAAUAAACUGUUAUCUCCAACUAGCACUCUGCCAGAAAAAUAAAAUAAUCCAGCUGGAAGGCUGGUGGAUGACUUUAUACGCUAUAUUCUUAAUAUGUUUUUUAUAAAGCACCAACAUACGUUGCAGCGCUGUAUAAUGGACAAUUAAAAGCACACAUGUAAAUGAUGGCAAACAAUUUUUACUGGAAAACAAGGUG